rnacentral:rRNA from 1 species
GUCCGACGGUACAGGGUGAUAGUCCCGUACACGAAAAUGCACAUGCUGUGAACUCGAAGAGUAGGGCGGGACACGUGGUAUCCUGUCUGAAUAUGGGGGGACCAUCCUCCAAGGCUAAAUACUCCUGACUGACCGAUAGUGAACCAGUACCGUGAGGGAAAGGCGAAAAGAACCCCGGCGAGGGGAGUGAAAAAGAACCUGAAACCGUGUACGUACAAGCAGUGGGAGCCUCUUUAUGGGGUGACUGCGUACCUUUUGUAUAAUGGGUCAGCGACUUAUAUUCUGUAGCAAGGUUAACCGUAUAGGGGAGCCGAAGGGAAACCGAGUCUUAACUGGGCGUUAAGUUGCAGGGUAUAGACCCGAAACCCGGUGAUCUAGCCAUGGGCAGGUUGAAGGUUGGGUAACACUAACUGGAGGACCGAACCGACUAAUGUUGAAAAAUUAGCGGAUGACCUGUGGCUGGGGGUGAAAGGCCAAUCAAACCGGGAGAUAGCUGGUUCUCCCCGAAAGCUAUUUAGGUAGCGCCUCGUGAACUCAUCUUCGGGGGUAGAGCACUGUUUCGGCUAGGGGGCCAUCCCGGCUUACCAACCCGAUGCAAACUACGAAUACCGAAGAAUGUUAUCACGGGAGACACACGGCGGGUGCUAACGUCCGUCGUGAAGAGGGAAACAACCCAGACCGCCAGCUAAGGUCCCAAAGUCAUGGUUAAGUGGGAAACGAUGUGGGAAGGCACAGACAGCCAGGAUGUUGGCUUAGAAGCAGCCAUCAUUUAAAGAAAGCGUAAUAGCUCACUGGUCGAGUCGGCCUGCGCGGAAGAUGUAACGGGGCUAAACCAUGCACCGAAGCUGCGGCAGCGACACUAUGUGUUGUUGGGUAGGGGAGCGUUCUGUAAGCCGUUGAAGGUGUGCUGUGAGGCAUGCUGGAGGUAUCAGAAGUGCGAAUGCUGACAUAAGUAACGAUAAAGCGGGUGAAAAGCCCGCUCGCCGGAAGACCAAGGGUUCCUGUCCAACGUUAAUCGGGGCAGGGUGAGUCGACCCCUAAGGCGAGGCCGAAAGGCGUAGUCGAUGGGAAACAGGUUAAUAUUCCUGUACUUGGUGUUACUGCGAAGGGGGGACGGAGAAGGCUAUGUCAGCCGGGCGACGGUUGUCCCGGUUUAAGCAUGUAGGCGGAGGU